rnacentral:lncRNA from 1 species
GUUAUUCAGGGGUAUUCAAAAUGUGGUCCUGAGAUGACUGAGAAGUGGUUUCUCAGACUGGUGUGAAAGGGUAAUUGUUCCUGGAUGUUUCCCCAGAACCCUUGUCCUUGCAGAUUCAUGAGGAUGAGGACCUGGUUUCCACCCACACUUUUGGACCUGGCAGUCCAGAGUCUGCUGAGGGACAAGAACUUGGUGAUCCGGGCUCUGGAGGAACUUCCCAGGGAGCUCUUCCCACCGCUCUCUCAGCUGAACAUUUUCCGGCUGCCAACAUGGGACCUGCAGUUCUUUCAAGCUGUGCUGGAUGGGCUUGAUGUGCUGCUGGCUCAGAAGGUUCGCCCCAGGAGGUGGAAACUGCAAGUGUUGGAUAUGCGGAACAUGCACCUAAACUUCUGGAGGGUCUGGGCUGGAAACUUGGCUGAUCCUGGUUUCCCAGAGGUCACAAUGGGUAGGGAAAUGAAGAAGGAUGGGCCAAAGUUGGCAGAAAAGCAGCCCCUAAGGGUGCUCAUAGACCUGAACCUCCAUCUGGAUUGUCUGGAUUCACCUUUACAUUUUCUUUUUAAGUGGGCCCAGGAGAGGAGGGGUUUGCUUCAAGUGGAGUGUAGAAAGCUGUGUAUAGAUGCAGUUUCUCCUGAAACAAUUUUGAACAUGCUGGAAAUUGCUGACUUCGGAUUCAUGGAGGAUGUGGAAGUCCAUGGUUUCUGGGCUCUCUUUGUUCUGUGUAAUUUUGACUCUUACCUGGGCCAGAUGAAAAAUCUUCAGAAGCUACUUCUCUCUCACAUCCAUGUGCCUGAUUGCCUUCCUCCAGAUGAGACGGAGAAGUUGGUGACCCAAUUAACCUCUCAUUUCCUAAACCAGCACCACCUACAGGAGCUUCAUAUGAACAAUGUCUCCUUUUUGGAAGGCCACCUCACUGAGGUGCUCAGGUGCCUGAAGAUUCACUUGGAGACCCUCUCAAUAACACAUUUGCAGCUUUCACACAUAGACUGGAACCAUUUGUCCCAGUGCCCAAGCAUCAGUCAGCUAAAACGCCUGUGUCUGAGUGGUGUCAGGUUGACUGAAUUUAGACCUGAGCCCCUCCAAGUUCUUCUGGAGAAAGUUGCAGGUACCCUGACCACGCUGUACUUGGAAUCCUGUGGGAUCACUGACUUCCACCUCAGAGCCAUCAUUCCUGCCCUGAGCCUCUGCUCUCAGCUCAGCACCUUAAGCUGCAUACAGAACUCCAUCUCUGUGGCCACCUUGGAGAACCUGCUGUACCACACUGCCAGGAUGAGAAAUUUAAGACUGGAGCUGUACCCUAUUCCUCGGGAGGUUCAUAGUUCUAGACUGGGGCAGCUUAGGGAUGCGAUGAGGAGGAUUGUAAAGCCGUUAAACUACCCCAGGACUGCCUGGCUCAGUAUUAAUGAGUAUUAUUGUCCCAGUGGUGUCUGGGAAACCUGUUACCUGGAGUUUAGUGAGUGCUCUAACAGUAUCCCUAUGUAGCUGGACACAUAUAUUCUAUGCUGUCUUUAGGCCACUGGGAACAAAGAGCCCAUGUUUCUGUGUGAUUGGUGAAAAAAGAUGUUGGACAGCUGGAGGGCAGCCUUGGAUGGAAAAAUGUUGACCUGGAAGGUAGAAGUGAUCUUUGGAGACAUGAGUCCUAGACAGGGUCAGAAAUAGGAACCCGGGUCUAGAAGUAAAUUCGUGCAUGGAUGGAUAUAAAGAAGUGUUCAGAAAUAAAGAGAACCACAAUGUAAAGUAUCUGGUUUCCUCCAC